rfam:Brachypodium distachyon strain Bd21 chromosome 1, whole genome shotgun sequence.
UAUUUACUCUCUCUGUCCAACAAAAGAUGUUUCAAGUUUGUCAAAAUUUGAAUGUAUCUAGACAUGAUUUAGUGCAUAGAUGCAUUCAAAUUUAGUCAAAGUUGAGAUAUCCUUUGUUAUACGGAGAAAGUAUUUA